rnacentral:rRNA from 1 species
GGUUCCACUCUGUACUUUAGUUUAUCUAGAGUGUGGUGUGGAAUCACACGAGCGGCGGACGGCUGAGUAAUACACAGGAACGUACCCCAAACUGAGGGAUAAGCACCAGAAAUGGUGUCUAAUACCGCAUAAUCUCUUCGGAGGAAAGUAUUUAUACGGUUUGGGAGCGGCCUGUGCCCGAUUAGCUAGUUGGCGGGGUAAAUGCCCACCAAGGCGACGAUCGGUAGCUGGUCUGAGAGGAUGAUCAGCCAGACUGGGACUGAGAACGGCCCAGACUCCUACGGGAGGCAGCAGUAGGGAAUUUUGCGCAAUGGACGAAAGUCUGACGCAGCAACGCCGCGUGCAGGAAGACGGCCUUCGGGUUGUAAACUGCUUUUAUCUGUGACGAUUAUGACGGUAGCAGAUGAAUAAGGAUCGGCUAACUCCGUGCCAGCAGCCGCGGUCAUACGGAGGAUCCAAGCGUUAUCCGGAAUUACUGGGCGUAAAGAGUUGCGUAGGUGGUUGAUUAAGCAAAACAUAAAAUCUCACGGCUCAACCGUGAAGCUAUGUUUUGAACUAGUCGACUAGGGCAUGGAAGAGGUAGCUGGAAUUCCUGGUGUAGGAGUGAAAUCCGUAGAUAUCAGGAGGAACACCGAUGGCGUAGGCAGGCU